rnacentral:misc_RNA from 1 species
CUGCAUGUCUGACGCUAGG